CUCAGAUGUGAAAGUGUGUGUGUGUGUGUGUGUGUGUGUGUGUGUGUGUGUGUGUGUGUGUGUGUGUGUGUGUGUGUGUGUGUGUGUGUGUGUGUGUGUGUGUGUGUGUGUGUGUGUGUGUGCGGUUGUCUAAAACUGUAUAAGUCAGCUUAGAUCUGCACCCUUCCCAUUCAUGACUUCGGAGUGGUGUGUGUCUGUGCGAUAACUAUUUGUGCACAAGCUUUUGUGUGUGUAUACAGGCAACGUAUGUGUCUAUGCUUGCAGCUCAUCUGUGUUUGUGCAGAUGCAUGAAUGUGCGUCUGUGUGUGCGUGCAUUGGUUCACGUGUGUGCGUGUGUGUGUGUGUGCACGUACGCGCCACCGGUUUCCCAGAGAUGUCACAGCGGGUCUAGCAUCACCAUCCGUCAUGCUGCGCUGGCGCAGGGCCAGCUCUGUGGCCGCUGCAGUGAGGGGUGUAAAGCAUGGAGGACAUGGACUUCGAGAGGCGCCGGGAGCUCAGACGGCAGAAGCGUGAGGAGAUGCGCCUGGAAGCUGAACG
ensembl:lncRNA